rnacentral:rRNA from 1 species
AAUUUUGGACAAUGGGCGCAAGCCUGAUCCAGCAAUGCCGCGUGCAGGAUGAAGGCCUNAGGGUUNUNAACUGCUUUUGUACGGANAGAAAAGACUUCGGUUUAUACCCUGGGAUCCUGCCGGUACCGUAAGAAUAAGCACCGCCUAACUACGUGCCAUCAGCCGCGGUAAUACGUAGGGUGCAAGCGUUAAUCGGAAUUACUGGGCGUAAAGCGUGCGCAGGCGGUUUUGUAAGACAGUGGUGAAAUCCCCGGGCUCAACCUGGGAACUGCCAUUGUGACUGCAGGGCUGGAGUGCGGCAGAGGGGGAUGGAAUUCCGCGUGUAGCAGUGAAAUGCGUAGAUAUGCGGAGGAACACCGAUGGCGAAGGCAAUCCCCUGGGCCUGCACUGACGCUCAUGCACGAAAGCGUGGGGAGCAAACAGG